UGGGGAAUAUUGGGCAAUGGGCGAAAGCCUGACCCAGCGACGCCGCGUGAAGGAAGAAGGCCCUCGGGUUGUAAACUUCAGUCAACAGGGAAGAAACAAAUGACGGUACCUGUGGAGGAAGCCACGGCUAACUACGUGCCAGCAGCCGCGGUAAUACGUAGGUGGCAAGCGUUAUCCGGAUUUACUGGGUGUAAAGGGUGUGUAGGCGGGUCUGCAAGUCAGAUGUGAAAACUAUGGGCUCAACUCAUAGCUUGCAUUUGAAACUGUGGAUCUUGAGUGUCGGAGAGGUAAAUGGAAUUCCCGGUGUAGAGGUGAAAUUCGUAGAUAUCGGGAGGAACACCAGUGGCGAAGGCGGUUUACUGGACGAUUACUGACGCUGAGACACGAAAGUGUGGGGAGCAAACA
rnacentral:rRNA from 1 species